GACGAACGCUGGCGGCGUGCUUAACACAUGCAAGUCGAACGGAAAGGCCCUGCUUUUGUGGGGUGCUCGAGUGGCGAACGGGUGAGUAACACGUGAGUAACCUGCCCUUGACUUUGGGAUAACUUCAGGAAACUGGGGCUAAUACCGGAUAGGAGCUCCUGCUGCAUGGUGGGGGUUGGAAAGUUUCGGCGGUUGGGGAUGGACUCGCGGCUUAUCAGCUUGUUGGUGGGGUAGUGGCUUACCAAGGCUUUGACGGGUAGCCGGCCUGAGAGGGUGACCGGCCAAAUUGGGACUGGGAUACGGCCCAGACUCCUACGGGAGGCAGCAGUGGGGAAUAUUGCACAAUGGGCGGAAGCCUGAUGCAGCAACGCCGCGUGCGGGAUGACGGCCUUCGGGUUGUAAACCGCUUUCGCCUGUGACGAAGCGUGAGUGACGGUAAUGGGUAAAGAAGCACCGGCUAACUACGUG
rnacentral:rRNA from 1 species